rnacentral:rRNA from 1 species
CGAUCGGUAGCCGACCUGAGAGGGUGAUCGGCCACAUUGGAACUGAGAGACGGUCCAAACUCCUACGGGAGGCAGCAGUGGGAAUAUUGGGCAAUGGGGGAAACCCUGACCCAGCAACGCCGCGUGAAGGAAGAAGGUCUUCGGAUCGUAAACUUCUAUCCUUGGUGAAGAGGAGAAGACGGUAGCCAAGAAGGAAGCCCCGGCUAACUACGUGCCAGCAGCCUCGGUAAUACGUAGGGGGCAAGCGUUGUCCGGAAUGAUUGGGCGUAAAGGGCGUGUAGGCGGCCUGGUAAGUCUGGAGUGAAAGUCCUGUUUUUAAGAUGGGAAUUGCUUUGGAUACUGUUGGGCUAGAGUGCAGGAGAGGUAAGUGGAAUUCCCAGUGUAGCGGUGAAAUGCGUAGAGAUUGGGAGGAACACCAGUGGCGAAGGCGACUUACUGGACUGUAACUGACGCUGAGGCGCGAAAGUGUGGGGAGCAAACAGGAUUAGAUACCCUGGUAGUCCACACUGUAAACGAUGAAUGCUAGGUGUAGGGGGUAUCGACCCCUUCUGUGCCGGAGUAAACACAAUAAGCAUUCCGCCUGGGGAGUACGGCCGCAAGGUUGAAACUCAAAGGAAUUGACGGGGGCCCGCACAAGCAGCGGAGCAUGUGGUUUAAUUCGAAGCAACGCGAAGAACCUUACCAGGUCUUGACAUCCAGUAAAGCCUGUAGAGAUACAGAGUCCCUUCGGGGGUACUGAGACAGGUGGUGCAUGGUUGUCGUCAGCUCGUGUCGUGAGAUGUUGGGUUAAGUCCCGCAACGAGCGCAACCCUUAUGAUUAGUUACUAACGGGUAAAGCCGAGGACUCUAAUGAGACUGCCGGGGACAACUCGGAGGAUGGUGGGGACGACGUCAAAUCAUCAUGCCCCUUAUGACCUGGGCUACACACGUGCUACAAUGGCCACUACAAAGAGGAGCGAACCUGCAAGGGGGAGCGGAUCUCAAAAAAGUGGUCCCAGUUCGGAUUGUGGGCUGCAACCCGCCCACAUGAAGUCGGAGUUGCUAGUAAUCGCGGAUCAGCAUGCCGCGGUGAAUACGUUCCCGGGCCUUGUACACACCGCCCGUCACACCAUGGGAGUUGGGAGUGCCCAAAGUCGGCGAGGUAACCGCAAGGAGCCAGCCGCCUAAGGCAAGACCAAUGACUGGGGUGAAGUCGUAACAAGGUA